rnacentral:rRNA from 1 species
UACGAAGGGUGCAAGCGUUGUUCGGAAUUACUGGGCGUAAAGCGCGCGUAGGCGGGCUUGUGUGUCGAUUGUGAAAGCCCUGGGCUUAACCUGGGAAUGGCAGUCGAAACUGCAAGUCUUGAAUGUCUGAGAGGAUGGCGGAAUUCCCGGUGUAGUAGUGAAAUACGUAGAUAUCGGGAAGAACACCUGAGGCGAAGGCGGCUAUCUGGCGGUACAUUGACGCUGAUGCGCGAAAGCGUGGGGAGCAAACAGGG